GGGAAUUGGAGGUUUCUGAAUUGGCGAUUGGGACUCUGAGUUGGAGAUACAGACAAAUUAGCAAAUUGCGUUUCUGAAUCAACGAGAAGAACAAGGGUAUAUUGACAAAUGAAACGAAGUGCCUGAGGCGUGAGACCGUCACAGUUAGAGACGAGACAUUGUUCGAUUUAAGUCUUGAUAUAGAACAGAACAGCUCCAUCCAAGGAUGGUGCAUGUAUUCAAGAGUUACAAGCUACUUUAAAUAUGUGAAGAUUUAUAGGGUUUUUGGCACA